rnacentral:rRNA from 1 species
UUCGACACACUAUCAUUAACUGAAUCCAUAGGUUAAUGAGGCGAACCGGGGGAACUGAAACAUCUAAGUACCCCGAGGAAAAGAAAUCAACCGAGAUUCCCCCAGUAGCGGCGAGCGAACGGGGAGGAGCCCAGAGCCUGAAUCAGUGUGUGUGUUAGUGGAAGCGUCUGGAAAGGCGCGCGAUACAGGGUGACAGCCCCGUACACAAAAAUGCACAUAUUGUGAGCUCGAUGAGUAGGGCGGGACACGUGGUAUCCUGUCUGAAUAUGGGGGGACCAUCCUCCAAGGCUAAAUACUCCUGACUGACCGAUAGUGAACCAGUACCGUGAGGGAAAGGCGAAAAGAACCCCGGCGAGGGGAGUGAAAAAGAACCUGAAACCGUGUACGUACAAGCAGUGGGAGCCUCUUAAUGGGGUGACUGCGUACCUUUUGUAUAAUGGGUCAGCGACUUAUAUUCUGUAGCAAGGUUAACCGAAUAGGGGAGCCGAAGGGAAACCGAGUCUUAACUGGGCGUUAAGUUGCAGGGUAUAGACCCGAAACCCGGUGAUCUAGCCAUGGGCAGGUUGAAGGUUGGGUAACACUAACUGGAGGACCGAACCGACUAAUGUUGAAAAAUUAGCGGAUGACUUGUGGCUGGGGGUGAAAGGCCAAUCAAACCGGGAGAUAGCUGGUUCUCCCCGAAAGCUAUUUAGGUAGCGCCUCGUGAAUUCAUCUCCGGGGGUAGAGCACUGUUUCGGCAAGGGGGUCAUCCCGACUUACCAACCCGAUGCAAACUGCGAAUACCGGAGAAUGUUAUCACGGGAGACACACGGCGGGUGCUAACGUCCGUCGUGAAGAGGGAAACAACCCAGACCGCCAGCUAAGGUCCCAAAGUCAUGGUUAAGUGGGAAACGAUGUGGGAAGGCCCAGACAGCCAGGAUGUUGGCUUAGAAGCAGCCAUCAUUUAAAGAAAGCGUAAUAGCUCACUGGUCGAGUCGGCCUGCGCGGAAGAUGUAACGGGGCUAAACCAUGCACCGAAGCUGCGGCAGCGACACUAUGUGUUGUUGGGUAGGGGAGCGUUCUGUAAGCCUGUGAAGGUGGCCUGUGAGGGUUGCUGGAGGUAUCAGAAGUGCGAAUGCUGACAUAAGUAACGAUAAAGCGGGUGAAAAGCCCGCUCGCCGGAAGACCAAGGGUUCCUGUCCAACGUUAAUCGGGGCAGGGUGAGUCGACCCCUAAGGCGAGGCCGAAAGGCGUAGUCGAUGGGAAACAGGUUAAUAUUCCUGUACUUGGUGUUACUGCGAAGGGGGGACGGAGAAGGCUAUGUUGGCCGGGCGACGGUUGUCCCGGUUUAAGCGUGUAGGCUGGUUUUCCAGGCAAAUCCGGAAAAUCAAGGCUGAGGCGUGAUGACGAGGCACUACGGUGCUGAAGCGACAAAUGCCCUGCUUCCAGGAAAAGCCUCUAAGCAUCAGGUAACAUCAAAUCGUACCCCAAACCGACACAGGUGGUCAGGUAGAGAAUACCAAGGCGCUUGAGAGAACUCGGGUGAAGGAACUAGGCAAAAUGGUGCCGUAACUUCGGGAGAAGGCACGCUGAUAUGUAGGUGAAGCGACUUGCUCGUGGAGCUGAAAUCAGUCGAAGAUACCAGCUGGCUGCAACUGUUUAUUAAAAACACAGCACUGUGCAAACACGAAAGUGGACGUAUACGGUGUGACGCCUGCCCGGUGCCGGAAGGUUAAUUGAUGGGGUUAGCGGUAACGCGAAGCUCUUGAUCGAAGCCCCGGUAAACGGCGGCCGUAACUAUAACGGUCCUAAGGUAGCGAAAUUCCUUGUCGGGUAAGUUCCGACCUGCACGAAUGGCGUAAUGAUGGCCAGGCUGUCUCCACCCGAGACUCAGUGAAAUUGAACUCGCUGUGAAGAUGCAGUGUACCCGCGGCAAGACGGAAAGACCCCGUGAACCUUUACUAUAGCUUGACACUGAACAUUGAGCCUUGAUGUGUAGGAUAGGUGGGAGGCUUUGAAGUGUGGACGCCAGUCUGCAUGGAGCCGACCUUGAAAUACCACCCUUUAAUGUUUGAUGUUCUAACGUGGGCCCCUUACCGGGGUUGCGGACAGUGUCUGGUGGGUAGUUUGACUGGGGCGGUCUCCUCCUAAAGAGUAACGGAGGAGCACGAAGGUUGGCUAAUCCUGGUCGGACAUCAGGAGGUUAGUGCAAUGGCAUAAGCCAGCUUGACUGCGAGCGUGACGGCGCGAGCAGGUGCGAAAGCAGGUCAUAGUGAUCCGGUGGUUCUGAAUGGAAGGGCCAUCGCUCAACGGAUAAAAGGUACUCCGGGGAUAACAGGCUGAUACCGCCCAAGAGUUCAUAUCGACGGCGGUGUUUGGCACCUCGAUGUCGGCUCAUCACAUCCUGGGGCUGAAGUAGGUCCCAAGGGUAUGGCUGUUCGCCAUUUAAAGUGGUACGCGAGCUGGGUUUAGAACGUCGUGAGACAGUUCGGUCCCUAUCUGCCGUGGGCGCUGGAGAACUGAGGGG